rnacentral:rRNA from 1 species
GCACCACCGGCGGACGGCUCAGUAACACGUCGGUAACCUACCCUCGGGAGGGGGAUAACCCCGGGAAACUGGGGCUAAUUCCCCAUAGGCCUGAGGUACUGGAAGGUCCUCAGGCCGAAAGGGACUUAUGUCCGCCCGAGGAUGGGCCGGCGGCCGAUUAGGUAGUUGGUGGGGUAAUGGCCCACCAAGCCGAAGAUCGGUACGGGCUGUGAGAGCAGGAGCCCGGAGAUGGACACUGAGACACGGGUCCAGGCCCUACGGGGCGCAGCAGGCGCGAAACCUCCGCAAUGCGGGAAACCGCGACGGGGGGACCCCGAGUGCCGUGGCAACGCCACGGCUUUUCCGGAGUGUAAAAAGCUCCGGGAAUAAGGGCUGGGCGAGGCCGGUGGCAGCCGCCGCGGUAAUACCGGCGGCCCGAGUGGUGGCCGCUAUUAUUGGGCCUAAAGCGUCCGUAGCCGGGCCCGUAAGUCCCUGGCGAAAUCCCACGGCUCAACCGUGGGGCUUGCUGGGGAUACUGCGGGUCUUGGGACCGGGAGAGGCGGGGGGUACCCCUGGGGUAGGGGUGAAAUCCUAUAAUCCCAGGGGGACCGCCAGUGGCGAAGGCGCCCCGCUGGAACGGGUCCGACGGUGAGGGACGAAGGCCAGGGGAGCAAACCGGAUUAGAUACCCGGGUAGUCCUGGCUGUAAAGGAUGCGGGCUAGGUGUCGGGUGAGCCUCGAGCUCGCCCGGUGCCGUAGGGAAGCCGUUAAGCCC